rnacentral:rRNA from 1 species
CAGUCUCAGUUCGGAUUGAAGGCUGAAAUUCGCCUUCAUGAAGCCGGAAUUGCUAGUAAUGGCAGGUCAGCAUACUGCCGUGAAUACGUUCCCGGGCCUUGUACACACCGCCCGUCACACCAUGAGAGUUGGAGAUACCCGAAGCCUAUGAGCUAACUUUUAGAGGCAGUAGUCGAAGGUAGAAUCAAUGAUUGGGGUGAAGUCGUAACAAGGUACC